rnacentral:rRNA from 1 species
AUUGCAGGCUGCAACCCGCCUGUAUGAAGUUGGAAUCGCUAGUAAUCGCGGAUCAGCAUGCCGCGGUGAAUACGUUCCCGGGCCUUGUACACACCGCCCGUCACACCAUGAGAGUCGGGAACACCCGAAGUCCGUAGCCUAACCGCAAGGGGGGCGCGGCCGAAGGUGGGUUCGAUAAUUGGGGUGAAGUCGUAACAAGGUACC